rnacentral:rRNA from 1 species
GACGAACGCUGGCGGUGUGCUUAACACAUGCAAGUCGAACGGUAAGGCCCUUUCGGGGGUCCCCGAGUGGCGAACGGGUGAGUAACACGUGAGUAACCUGCCCUCAUCUCUGGGAUAACAGUCGGAAACGGUUGCUAAUACUGGAUAUGAGCUUGCAAGGCAUCUUGUGGGUUGGAAAGAUUUUUUUGGUUGGGGAUGGACUCGCGGCCUAUCAGCUUGUUGGUGAGGUAGUGGCUCACCAAGGCUUCGACGGGUAGCCGGCCUGAGAGGGCGACCGGCCACAUUGGGACUGAGAUACGGCCCAAACUCCUACGGGAGGCAGCAGUGGGGAAUAUUGCACAAUGGACGGAAGUCUGAUGCAGCAACGCCGCGUGCGGGAUGACGGCCUUCGGGUUGUAAACCGCUUUCAAUUGUGACGAAGCUUUUUGUGACGGUAGCAGUAGAAGAAGCACCGGCUAACUACGUG